UGCAUCUAUCCCCAGCAGCUUUACCUCCAGCCCAGACAAAGGGUAAGAGGACCCGUGCCAAGAAUACUGACAUUAGACUCUCUGGUUCUAUAGCCAGUGGAUCCUCUGUCACCCACAACAAGCAUCAAACCAAGGCCAGCAGAACCUAUGGUCAAAGUGUCACUGACCCCAGUGCAUUAAGGCCAGUUUCAAGUUGGGAGGUAAAGAGAAUCCAGGCCAACACUCUUCGUACUGUACAGCCUCACUCCGGCAGCUCUGGACUAGUCCAGAAUCCUGAUGUUGUGUUUAAUGUCCAGAGUAGAACUGCCUCUAACCUGAAACCAUCUACUCCUAACUAUGGCUCUACCCAGAAUGAAUUCAAGUUCUCCACCUCCAGACAACCCAACCAAGGCCUUGUCCAGACUCUGAGUAGAGGAGCCCCCAGCCUCUAUGGUCAAACUGCUACCCACACCACCUCCCUCACCCACUAUGUCCAGGACCUGAAGCAAGGGAGCAGCUUCCCUUCCCUGGCUUUCAAGGGACCAAUGGAGAUCUCUGCCCGGUCAAUUUCCAUUCCUGACCGUGAAGUUCCCUCAAGUGGUUCUUCACAAACUUCAUUUGGACCAGGUCCUCUGAGUUCUGGUUCUACUGAAGGUGGGAGUGCAACAAAAAGCUACAAGCCUAGCUUCUCCCAAGAUGUCAUGCAAUACCAGAGCAACUCUGCCAGUAGAAGUGUUUCAACUUCCAAUCAAUAUGCCCAAACCUCUGGCCAGAGAAUAGAUGGAGGCUCUACCUCAAGUCGCGGCAUGCCUACUUCUAGCCUGGCCUCUCGCUCCAGUCUUUUUCACCCCAGCUCUACAGCUAGUGGAAACUCCUAUGGCGCCUACAAGCCUGGCUCUGACCUUGGUGCAACACCAAGCCAAAGCCUGUUUACCUCUAACCAAGGUGGAAGGGGUUCAACAUACAGCCAGAAUCUCCUUGCAAAACCUGCCCAAGGGAAGUACGGACAAAUGUCUGCUCAGUGGGGAGCUACAGGCCCAGCUAUGCUGCCAGUAGUGGGCCAGUCUCCAGCCUCUUCAGUUCUACCCAGGCUGCCAGUUCAACAUUCAUCCAGAAUGCUCCUGCCACAGCCCAGAAGCCAAGUGUCUCUAAACCUGUCCCCAGUCAACGCUAUUUGUUCAAUGCAUUGAAGUCCAACACUAGCUCUGCCAGACGUCCCACCCAGAGCCUCUUGUCUAGCAGCUAUGGCCCUACCCAGAGCAGGACCAGCAGUGCCAGCUCGAUCAACCGUCACCGCUUUGGCCUGACCAUCAUGCACAGCAUCCCAGAAUUGUACGGUGGAUCUACAAUCCACCGGCUCAAAGACCUUACUCGGUAGAUCUGUUACCACCAGUUGAGGUGCUGUGACCUGGAAGUGUUGUCAGGACUUCUCUACUUCAAUUGUUUUAAAUAAAAUGUAUUAAUACA